AACGGCCGUACCAUGCUGAAUAUACCGGUUCUCGUUAGAUCACCGAAGUCAAGCAUCAUUGGGCGAGGUCAGUACUUGGGUGGGUGACCACCUGGGAACACCGCGUGCCGUU